GGUGGCUCAGUGGUAGAGUGCGUGCCUUGAAUGCAUGAGGCCCUGGGUAUGAUCCUCAGCACCA
rnacentral:tRNA from 1 species